rnacentral:rRNA from 1 species
GGGGAAUUUUGGACAAUGGGCGCAAGCCUGAUCCAGCCAUGCCGCGUGAGUGAAGAAGGCCUUCGGGUUGUAAAGCUCUUUCAGACGGAAAGAAAUCUCUCAGGAUAAUACCUUGGGAGGAUGACGGUACCGUAAGAAGAAGCACCGGCUAACUACGUGCCAGCAGCCGCGGUAAUACGUAGGGUGCGAGCGUUAAUCGGAAUUACUGGGCGUAAAGCGUGCGCAGGCGGUUUCGUAAGACAGACGUGAAAUCCCCGGGCUCAACCUGGGAACUGCGUUUGUGACUGCGAGGCUAGAGUACGGCAGAGGGGGGUGGAAUUCCACGUGUAGCAGUGAAAUGCGUAGAGAUGUGGAGGAACACCGAUGGCGAAGGCAGCCCCCUGGGCCGAUACUGACGCUCAUGCACGAAAGCGUGGGUAGCAAACA